rnacentral:tRNA from 1 species
GCAGUCGUAGUCUAGUGGUUAUGAUGUGACCUUUACACGGUCAAGGCCGGGGGUUCGAUCCCCCCCGACUGUA